rnacentral:rRNA from 1 species
ACUCAAAGGAAUAGACGGGGACCCGCACAAGCGGUGGAGCAUGUGGUUUAAUUCGAGGCUACGCGAAGAACCUUACCCAGGCUUGACAUGGUUAAGACAGCUGGUGAAAGCCAGUCUCUCCGCAAGGAGCUUUUCCACAGGUGCUGCAUGGCUGUCGUCAGCUCGUGCUGUGAAGUGUUGGGUUAAGUCCCGCAACGAGCGCAACCUUUAUCUUUAGUUGCCAUCAUUAAGUUGGGCACUCUAGAGAGACUGCCGGUGAUAAACUGGAGGAAGGAGGAGACGACGUCAAGUCAGUAUGGCCCUUAUGCCUGGGGCUACACACGUGCUACAAUGGCCGCCACAAUGGGCUGCGAACCCGCGAGGGGGAGCUAAUCCCAAAAAAACGGCCCCAGUUCAGAUUGCAGGCUGCAACUCGCCUGCAUGAAGUCGGAAUCGCUAGUAACGGUACAUCAGCAUCGGUACCGUGAAUACGUUCCCGGGUCUUGUACACACCGCCCGU